AACGCUCACUAUGAAAUUGAUUUUUUCGUUCCUAAAAUAUCGAAGUGCUCUUAAUGGUUUUUAAAGAAAUGUAGGUUUUUUUGUUUUCAUUUUCGAAUCUGUGAAAAUAUUUUGCCAUGACGUUAUUGAAAUCUGCAUUGGUACAUACAUAUACAGAAAUGUGUAUUAUAAUUAGGACAGCUGUGAUAAAGACUGUAACCACGACAUGAAGACACCAUAAGUUUUCCUAGCUUUAAGUAUUUAAUGAUAUUCAACAGAAUCCGUUAAAAUUAUAUUAUUUGACCAGUGAAAAUAUAAAAACAAUAAGUAAAUUCGCUGAUAAAGAAUCAUCCAUCUAAAUGAUAUUUAUUGAAUUAGUAGUUGAUACAUUUCCAUGUAUUUAUUUUUUAAAUUUUGUAUUGCAGAAAGCAAUUUGUGACUUUACUGGAAGAUUGCAGGAAAACACAUUAUUUUGGAAGAUUGAUUGCUCCGUGUCAUUGCUUGCAGUGCUUUGUUUAAAAUGCAAUGCUAAUAAACAUUUUAAAGGAGAAAA